GCGGUUUUUUAGGUCCGGGUGGAGGGUCACAGCAGGCGCUACUACACGUGUUAACAGUCGGAAUCCUACUAAAGGGGAAAUGAAACUAUCUGCUGCUUCUAUUUGUUUGACUAGUACAUAGUUUAGGCGCAAGUUCGACUCUGAAGUUCCUUCAACUCCUCGGGGAGGAAAUCAAUCAACGGACCCUGGUUUGACUGAUUUGGAUUAAAAAGACAUGAGCUGUAAACAUGCUAUAGUCGAACCUCUGUAGCUGGACACAUGAAGCCGCAGGAAGAUCUGUCGCUUUAACUUUCUACAAUAAGCUACUGUUAGCGCAUGAAACAGAGCGACUUUCAACUCCUUAAAGGGUGCUUUAUAGAACCCAUGCGUUUACUGAGGACACUUUAAAUAUGAAUGAGAAACAAUCGCUAGAGGACACUAAAAUAAACGGAGAAAAUACUAAAGCGGAAUCUGACAACCAUGCGAAGCUGGAGGCGGGUGACGCCGAGAAGCAAUCCGGCGAUCAGUGCGAGGUGGACGGACACGGAGCACCGCUGCCGACCCGCCUUUACAAGCGACGCUGGAUGAUAGUUCUCCUGUUCAGCUCCUAUUCACUGUGUAACUCCUUCCAAUGGAUCCAGUACGGCAUCAUCAACAACAUCUUCAUGAAGUUCUACGACGUGGACGCCUUCACCAUAGACUGGAUGUCCAUGAUCUACAUGCUCACAUACAUUCCCUUCAUCUUCCCGGUGACCUGGCUACUCGACAAAAAGGGACUCCGGGUCAUCGCGCUCGUGGCCACCGCGCUGAACUGCGCGGGGACGUGGAUCAAGGUGGCCAGCGUCAGACCAAAUCUGUUCGCUGUCACCUUCCUGGGACAGUUUUCCUGCUCGUUCGCACAGGUCUUCAUCCUCGGGAUGCCGUCCAGGAUCGCGUCUGUGUGGUUUGGUUCGGAGGAAGUGUCCACCGCCUGCUCCAUAGGAGUCUUUGGGAAUCAGCUGGGUAUUGCCAUUGGGUUCCUGGUGCCUCCUAUCCUGGUGCCUAAUGUGGAUGACAUGGAUGAGCUGGCUCAUCAUAUCAGAGUCAUGUUCUACAUCACGGCAGGAGUGGCCACCUUACUCUUCAUUCUCGUCGUCUUUGUCUUCCAGGAGCGUCCUAAACUACCUCCUACUCAGGCCCAGGCCACAGCUCGUCUCAUCCCACCGGAGCAGUACUCCUAUACCGCCUCUAUCCUCAGGCUACUCCGUAACAAGCCCUUCAUCCUCCUCAUCAUCACUUAUGGUUUGAACGUGGGCUGUUUCUAUGCUGUGGGCACCCUGCUGAACCGUAUGAUCAUUGAACAUUACCCCGGAGAAGAAGUGAAUGCUGGUCGGAUCGGACUCACCAUAGUCAUUGCAGGGAUGGUCGGCUCUCUGAUCUGUGGGAUCUGGUUGGAUAAAACUAAAACUUAUAAACAGACGACCCUUGCAGUCUACUUCAUGUCUCUGGUGGGGAUGAUCGUUUAUGCUGCUACACUCGAUCUUGGACACCUAUGGGUGGUCUUCAUCACUGCAGGAGCUCUUGGGUUUUUCAUGACAGGCUACCUGCCGCUGGGCUUUGAGUUUGCAGUGGAGCUGACGUACCCGGAGUCAGAGGGAACCUCAUCUGGACUCCUCAACUGUUCAGCACAGGUGUUUGGCAUUAUUUUCACCAUCUGCCAGGGAAAAAUCAUCGACGGCUUCGGCACACUGGCAGGAAACAUCUUUCUCUGUGUGUUCCUCCUAAUUGGCACCAUAAUGACCGGAUUUAUAAAGUCAGACCUGCGGAGACAGAAUGCAAACACGUUGGCCAAAGCAGCUGCGGAGGGGCAGAUGUCGGGACAGGACUAUGGAGCCACUGCACUAAUCUCCACGCCGCAGACUCCUCCUUCUCAAGCCUGAUCACUAAACCUUUCUGCUUCCACAUAAAAAAAAAUCUGCUCAAAUCUUAGCUCAACACACAGAUGGACAAAGGGACCCUCGGACUGCCCCAGUGGGAGCCUGGUGGAACCUCCUGUUAUCAGACAAGCCAAGUUUUAGACCACACAGACACGCUCCAACUUUAAAGCCUUGAACAUGUCCAUGACCUCAUUCUUGUUACAUAGUAACUCAGAACAACACAAUCAGGAAGUUGUCCAAUUUAAUUCCCUCCUGAGAAGAGUUCAGUGUAAAUUGUUGUAAUAAAUAUUUAUAAGAAAGAAAAAAAAUCUGAAACACAUAAUGAAUCAGAUGUUUGAUGCACAAUUUUGAAGGUUGAAGUUAAAUGUUUAGAAAUAUUUUUCUAUGAUACUGUGAAUGAGUAAAUACUCACACUGAACUUGUGAGACUAAUUUGUAAAAUUUUCUGUUUAUUCCUUGUCAAUUUUACCCAUCAGUAUUUUUAAAGCCUGAUUAUAUAUAUAUAUGUAUUUACCAUCAACGCUAUAGUUGUCAUGACAAAGUUAACCAUGUAAGUACAGUGUCAGCAUUUGUAGAAUUGACUUUAGUUGAAGAAUCAUUUAUGCAGCAUUGCAUUAAAGGAUUUCUAAUCCAUGGCAGAACACAGAAAGGGAUAAAAUAUUAAUGAAACACAGUUGUGAAUUUUAUUUGUAACACUGUUCAUGUUUACCUAUUUAACAUGAAAUAAAACUGUUUUUUAAAGUUU